rnacentral:rRNA from 1 species
AGUCACUGACAUUAGACUACCCCCGUAGUCCAGGGUGUAAACGCUGCAGACUUGGUGUUGGAAGUCCGUUUGGGGGCAUUCAGUGCCGGAGAGAAGUUGUUAAGUCUGCUACGUUGGGGAGUACGUCCGCAAAGGAUAGAAAACUUAAAGGAAUUGGGCGGGGGAGCACCGCAACAGGGGGGAGCGUGCGGUUUAAUUGGAUUCAACACCGUAAAACUCACCAGGGAAGACUGUUACAUGAAAGCCGAGAUGAAGACUCUGCUAGAUUUUCAG